rnacentral:lncRNA from 1 species
AGGGGUGCCGAAGGCGGACGGGAAUGGGGGUGUUGGAAGAGCAAGGAGCCGAGGGCUGCUCCAUGGAAGUGAAACUGGGAUGCAUCUGAAUGCCAUGGAAACAGCUCUGUCCCUAAACCUGCGUGGAGGGAGCUGCCUGCGUGCUGUGGGACACUGAGGUGCUGCCUAUCCCCGGAUCCCACCAGGAAUCUGCUGUGCUAGAGAGGAGAGAAACACAGAGCAGCA